rnacentral:tRNA from 1 species
CUCUGGUGGUUUAGUGGCUAGGAUUCACCUCUCUCACUGCUGCAGCCCAGGGUUCCAUUCCCUGGGAGUCAGAUG